rnacentral:hammerhead_ribozyme from 1 species
AUCCAGCCGACGAGUCCCAAAUAGGACAAAACGCGCGUUCUGGAU